UAGGGAAUAUUGGUCAAUGGGCGCAAGCCUGAACCAGCCAUGCCGCGUGCAGGAUGACGGCCCUAUGGGUUGUAAACUGCUUUUGUACGGGAAGAAACCCCACUACGUGUAGUGGGUUGACGGUACCGUGAGAAUAAGGAUCGGCUAACUUCGUGCCAGCAGCCGCGGUAAUACGAAGGAUCCUAGCGUUGUCCGGAUUUACUGGGUUUAAAGGGAGCGUAGGCGGACUUUUAAGUCAGUGGUGAAAGCCUGCAGCUUAACUGUAGAAUUGCCAUUGAAACUGAUUGUCUCGAGUGUGGUUGAGGUCACUGGAAUGUAUCAUGUAGCGGUGAAAUGCUUAGAUAUGAUACAGAACACCAAUUGCGAAGGCAGGUGACUAAGCCAUUACUGACGCUGAUGCUCGAAAGCGUGGGGAUCAAACAGG
rnacentral:rRNA from 1 species